rnacentral:rRNA from 1 species
UUUGGGGGGGGCUUUACACAUUGCAAGUCGACGGGAUCCAUCAGGCUUUGCUUGGUGGUGAGAGUGGCGAACGGGUGAGUAAUGCGUGACCGACCUGCCCCAUACACCGGAAUAGCUCCUGGAAACGGGUGGUAAUGCCGGAUGCUCCGACUCCUCGCAUGGGGUGUCGGGAAAGAUUUCAUCGGUAUGGGAUGGGGUCGCGUCCUAUCAGGUAGUCGGCGGGGUAACGGCCCACCGAGCCUACGACGGGUAGCCGGCCUGAGAGGGCGACCGGCCACAUUGGGACUGAGAUACGGCCCAGACUCCUACGGGAGGCAGCAGUGGGGAAUAUUGCACAAUGGGCGCAAGCCUGAUGCAGCGACGCCGCGUGCGGGAUGACGGCCUUCGGGUUGUAAACCGCUUUUGAUCGGGAGCAAGCCUUCGGGUGAGUGUACCUUUCGAAUAAGCACCGGCUAACUACGUGCCAGCAGCCGCGGUAAUACGUAGGGUGCAAGCGUUAUCCGGAAUUAUUGGGCGUAAAGGGCUCGUAGGCGGUUCGUCGCGUCCGGUGUGAAAGUCCAUCGCUUAACGGUGGAUCUGCGCCGGGUACGGGCGGGCUGGAGUGCGGUAGGGGAGACUGGAAUUCCCGGUGUAACGGUGGAAUGUGUAGAUAUCGGGAAGAACACCAAUGGCGAAGGCAGGUCUCUGGGCCGUUACUGACGCUGAGGAGCGAAAGCGUGGGGAGCGAACAGGAUUAGAUACCCUGGUAGUCCACGCCGUAAACGGUGGAUGCUGGAUGUGGGGCCCGUUCCACGGGUUCCGUGUCGGAGCUAACGCGUUAAGCAUCCCGCCUGGGGAGUACGGCCGCAAGGCUAAAACUCAAAGAAAUUGACGGGGGCCCGCACAAGCGGCGGAGCAUGCGGAUUAAUUCGAUGCAACGCGAAGAACCUUACCUGGGCUUGACAUGUUCCCGACAGCCGUAGAGAUAUGGCCUCCCUUCGGGGCGGGUUCACAGGUGGUGCAUGGUCGUCGUCAGCUCGUGUCGUGAGAUGUUGGGUUAAGUCCCGCAACGAGCGCAACCCUCGCCCUGUGUUGCCAGCACGUCAUGGUGGGAACUCACGGGGGACCGCCGGGGUCAACUCGGAGGAAGGUGGGGAUGACGUCAGAUCAUCAUGCCCCUUACGUCCAGGGCUUCACGCAUGCUACAAUGGCCGGUACAACGGGAUGCGACACGGCGACGUGGAGCGGAUCCCUGAAAACCGGUCUCAGUUCGGAUUGGAGUCUGCAACCCGACUCCAUGAAGGCGGAGUCGCUAGUAAUCGCGGAUCAGCAACGCCGCGGUGAAUGCGUUCCCGGGCCUUGUACACACCGCCCGUCAAGUCAUGAAAGUGGGUAGCACCCGAAGCCGGUGGCCUAACCCUUUUGUGGAUGGAAGCCCUUUUAAGA